rnacentral:rRNA from 1 species
GACGAACGCUGGCGGCGUGCCUAAUACAUGCAAGUAGAACGCACAGUUUAUACCGUAGCUUGCUACGCCAUAGACUGUGAGUUGCGAACGGGUGAGUAACGCGUAGGUAACCUGCCUGGUAGCGGGGGAUAACUAUUGGAAACGAUAGCUAAUACCGCAUAAUAUUAAUUAUUGCAUGAUAAUUAAUUGAAAGGUGCAAUUGCACCACUACCAGAUGGACCUGCGUUGUAUUAGCUAGUAGGUGAGGUAACGGCUCACCUAGGCGACGAUACAUAGCCGACCUGAGAGGGUGAUCGGCCACACUGGGACUGAGACACGGCCCAGACUCCUACGGGAGGCAGCAGUAGGGAAUCUUCGGCAAUGGACGAAAGUCUGACCGAGCAACGCCGCGUGAGUGAAGAAGGUUUUCGGAUCGUAAAGCUCUGUUGUAAGAGAAGAACGGGUGUGAGAGUGGAAAGUUCACACUGUGACGGUAUCUUACCAGAAAGGGACGGCUAACUACGUG